rnacentral:rRNA from 1 species
AACGAACGCUGGCGGCGUGCCUAACACAUGCAAGUCGUGCGAGAAAGUUCCUUCGGGAGCGAGUAAAGCGGCGCACGGGUGAGUAACACGUAGGUAACCUGCCCCCCAGUCUGGAACAACUAGAGGAAACUCUAGCUAAUGCCGGAUGAGACCACGAUCCCUUCGGGGGGUUGCGGGCCAAAGAUGGCCUCUACUUGUAAGCUAUCGCUGAGGGAUGGGCCUGCGGGCCAUUAGCUUGUUGGUGAGGUAACGGCUCACCAAGGCUGUGAUGGCUAGCUGGUCUGAGAGGAUGACCAGCCACACUGGGACUGAGACACGGCCCAGACUCCUACGGAGGCAGCAGUGGGGAAUAUUGCGCAAUGGGCGAAAGCCUGACGCAGCGACGCCGCGUGGGUGAGUGAAGGCC